rnacentral:rRNA from 1 species
GGCUCUUUGUACACAUAAGAUAAAGAGUCGAGCCUGCCCAGUGAAUUUUUCUUUAACGGCCGCGGUACCCUGACUGUGCAAAGGUAGCAUAAUAAUUUGCCUCAUAAUUGGAGGCUGGUAUGAAUGGUUUGACAAGAAUAGAACUGUCUCUAUGUAAUUUUAUAAAAUUUAAUUUUUAGGUUAAAAAGCCUAAAUAAAAUUAAAAGACAAGAAGACCCUAUCGAGCUUAAAAACAGUUUAAUGAUUUUAUUAAUAUUUAUAAAAAAUUGACUUAAAGUUAUUUUAGUUGGGGCGACCGAGGAACAUAAAAAGCUUCUUUUUUAUAAAAAAAAUUACGGUUAUUGACCCAGAAUAUUUGGUUAAAGAAAUUAGUUACCGUAGGGAUAACAGCAUUAUCUUUUUUGAGAGUUCUUAUCGAAAAAAAGGUUUGUGACCUCGAUGUUGGACCAGAAUAUCCUAAAGAUGUAGCA